AAACAGACAAACCCUAGGUUUUCGUGUCCAAGUUUGACCGUUCGUCUUAUUUGAAAAAAUUAUAAAAAAAUUAAAAAGACAAGUCACGUAUAAAGUAUUAAUCAUGUUUAUUAUCUAACAACAAUAAAAAUAGAAAUUAUAAAAAAAAUUCUUAUAAUACGGACAGUCAAAGGUUGGACACGGAAACCCAGGGUUUGUCUUUUU
rfam:Oryza sativa (indica cultivar-group) chromosome 11, whole genome shotgun sequence.